rnacentral:rRNA from 1 species
UGGGGAAUAUUGCGCAAUGGGCGAAAGCCUGACGCAGCGACGCCGCGUGAGGGAUGAAGGUUUUCGGAUCGUAAACCUCUGUCAGAAGGGAAGAAACCGCACUGUGCUAAUCAGCAGUGCCUUGAGGGUACCUUCAAAGGAAGCACCGGCUAACUCCGUGCCAGCAGCCGCGGUAAUACGGAGGGUGCAAGCGUUAAUCGGAAUUACUGGGCGUAAAGCGCACGUAGGCUGCUUUGUAAGUCAGGGGUGAAAUCCCACGGCUCAACCGUGGAACUGCCUUUGAUACUGCUUAGCUUGAAUCCGGGAGAGGGUGGCGGAAUUCCAGGUGUAGGAGUGAAAUCCGUAGAUAUCUGGAGGAACAUCAGUGGCGAAGGCGGCCACCUGGACCGGUAUUGACGCUGAGGUGCGAAAGCGUGGGGAGCAAACAGG